AGCAUUUCCCCUUGAACACUUUCCAGCUCCCCCACCCCGUACCUCCCCCAGUGCAUGUCCUCCCCCUCGUUUACACAGCUCCCUUCUCCACUGUGUUUCCUGCACUGCCUACACUAAUUGCACUUAGCCUGGAUGUGGUGGGGGAGGGAGGCUGGAAAGGGAGAAAGUAAAGAGAGGACUUCUGAGGAAUCUGUGUGAGUUUCUACCUGGAGGGUCUUCUGCACAUGGAAAAAAUGGAAGACAUAAAAUAGGCAGCAGAAGGAAGAGGAGAGAGGAACAGAUUCAAAUCCAGGUCCAAAGUGACCGGAGACAAGCUCAAGGUAGGAGCAUGUUGGUUCUCACCCUUUUAGAGGGAGCAAGGCAGCAACUGGAAGCUGCACAGACGAGAGCCCAGGAGAUCCAGUCCCUGCUCUCCACAGCACCCAUGUGAUGCAAAAUUCAGAGGGUAAGGCUUGUGGAGCCCUCCCUGCCACCUCUCCUGGCAAAAGGUUGUUCAGCAUGUGGGAGAGGUUGCUUUGUUUUUUACUCAUUGUUCCAUACCCCUUGACCACUCACUCUACUGCAAUUGCUUGUCUAAAACACUUCUCACUGCCCUUGUCCCCACUCCCAUUCCAAAACCACAGGAACAAGGAUGCUGACACCACAGAAGCAACGAGCUGCACAUUGGGGCCAUUCCUACAGGCUGGGGAUGAAAUCUGCCUGGAGAACAUGCAAAAUUCAGUCCCUGCUCUCCUCACAGUGGGAUGUGGAUGUAAACAUUGUCUCUUUCUCAGAGCAGCUUUUGAGAGUGUCUUUGGGACAACAGGGACCACCAAACAACUUGUGACCCAAAAAGGAAAUAGCAGCAGCACCAGCAACUGGGCUCUUCUCCAAAGCUUGUGAUAAUGGGAUCAGGUUUGGGCUCUGCAAUGCAACAUCUCAUCCAGGAGAUGUAGAAAUCAGCAUCACAUCAUCCUCCAGUUUAUUUAAGUUGCUUCAAAGCCAGCUGCAAUGUGUACAACAGCACACUGAAACCCUCCAUGCUGCCUUCCCUGGUGAUUUUGUGUGCAACCUCUGGAUGAGAUAGUUUCAUUGGAAUUGUUGUCCUCCUCCAAUGUGGCCAGAGGGAAAUGAACUGGAUGAGCAUUCUGCUGUGCCACACGGGGACCAGCCAAUGCACUCCACGUGUGUGCAGAUGGGGCUUGUCCAGCCCCCCUGACUUGCACUGGUGGCAAUGGUUUGCCACAAGGUCCCCUCAAUCAGAACAAGGUGAAAGCCCUGCCUCACCCAUGAGCCGAGCACUUGGAACUGACCUUCUCACAGCAAAGAGCACCAGCAUGGCUUAUCUGUGUGACCAAUGUAUGGCUGUUUUGGUUUCCUUCUUGAAGGCAAGAUAUUUCUUCAUGGGAGUCCUUCUGUUUCAACAAAUGUUCUGUGUUCAACACCUUCCUGAGAAAAACAGGAUUUCUGCAUGGAAGGAGGAUGAAUACUCAGACACACACCUGAAUUCUGCAACAUCAGAGAAUGUCACCGUGAAUGUCCAUUGGCAAACUGGAUAAGAAAGAGUGUCACAGUGCAGGACAACCUAGAAGAUGACAGGUAUUUCCAGGCAUAGCAAUGACGAGAUCAAAUUCCCCUCAACCUGCCUUGUUUGCUGAUCUUUUAAUCAGAUUCAACUUCACUGCAGCUACAGCACAAGGUUCCCUGACAAUGUAUGACAGCAUGUGACAGAAAAAUAUUUUGAUUUUUUUUUCUUUUUUGGUCAUUUGAUGCUAUUUGAGAUAAAUCUGAAGCCUCAGCAGCAUCUGAUAAAUCUACCAAACUACUUUAGUGGAGGUUUUUAACUAUUCAUAAUUGAACUGGAGGGUCUGGGGUUUGUGUUCAUGUGUUUGUAGUGGAAUCCAAACAGGAAAGCUGGGAAAUUAUCAAAACCCUUUGAGGUUAACCUGCCAUGAAAUAGCAUCAAUGACAGAAGAGGACAUUAUUAAGAAGGAGCCAGCCUCGCUCAAAAAGAGUCACUUUAUGAAGCCAGAGCCCAAAGAACAACACCCAGGGCUGUUUGUGGUCCCACAGGGAUAUGUAUUUCAUCCCCCAUCUUCAUCUCUCCAAAUUUUGUCUGAACGGCUUCUGAGCUGAAUUCUUGAGAAAGAAAAACACCAGCAAAUUUUGAAUGGGACUUCUCAGCCUUUUCCCUGCAAUCUGCUUCGUAUUCCUCUCACACCCAUGUUCUUGCAGUGUCUUGGGGAAAUGCUUGGAUCAAAGAUAAGAGAGAACAAGCAAAGGAAUGAAGCAAGAAGCAAACAACAAAACAAAACCAGCACCCCCCAAACUUUUUGAUGAAACUCCUCUGUGAAUCGUGUGUAUGGUUACAGCAAAGUUAAAACUGCCUUCUUCUUCACCAGUACUUAAUUCCUGCUUUUAAAAUCAGGCUCCCUUUGAUCUUGAGGGUUGAAAUGAUCUGGAAAUGAAACAGCCAGUGCUUUGCAGAAAAUCUGGAGAGGGUCCCAGACAUGGCUUUUACCUGGAAGGCUUCCAAAACAGGAUGAAAUCUCUCUGGUUUCAGAACAAAUUGCAAGAUUUUUUCUCUAUGUUUAGUCCAACUGUGGAACUCUAGCCCUGAUGUCUGUUGCUUCCCAAAGCACAGAUGUAAUAACCUCUGAGGUGAAAUGAGAAUGUUAUUCCCCCAUCUUCUCCCCUCUGCCUCCCCUCUGAGGGUUGAGGGCUGAGAGAAUUUUAUUAAAGUGAAGGCUUAAAGUUUUGGGCAGACUUAAUUUGAGGAGACAGUUGGUUAUAACCCAGGCUAGGGCCAUCCAUGUGAAGGUUGGAGAGGACAGAGCACCAGGAGCAUCUGUGACAUCUGGAUCCUGUUGAAAGCUCAGAAAUAUCUGCCUGGCUUCACGUGACCUGGCCCCAGAGCCAAAAGGGCUGAGAAAUGUGGUUAAGAGACUGCAGCAAGCUCUGCCCUAGCAAAUGAGUCCCACUGAGAAAGCAAGCACAUCAAUAUUUCUUUGAGGCUGUUUCUUUUAGUGAAUAUAUUUCCAUAUGUUGCAUUAAUAUUUCUUUUAUUGGGGCUUGUAAGUCCAUCUGGUAUUUGUAUUGGGAGGGCUUGAGCUGGCAGAUCCCUUCGCUGCUGUUACACACAGAUCUGGACAGCCCUUGCAAGGGUAGGUGGUUGGAUAGGGACAACAUCUCCUCAGCUGCCUUUUUAAUUGGAUAAACUUCUCAAAUCAAUCAAGAAAAUCUGGUUACUUAUGUCAAUUAGAUCCCACCGAGCCAAUGUUGCAACGUAAGUAUGGUCUGAGUCUAAGGUAUAGCAGUUCACAGUAAAGAAACCUGUACAGUGUAACAACCCUGAUCUAGGUGGUGUAAAGUAGGAAAAAUACCUGGGCAUCAAUAUUAAACAAAAAAUGUGCUGUAAUAUCACAGUUUGCCAAGACAAUAAGAAUCACUUUCCUUUGCAUGUAUUAUUAAGGAAUUGGGGAAUAAUUAUCUGCUUUAAUACAAGCUUUUUCCUUCUGCAUGAUUAACUUCAGUGAUAUCAACAGAGAGUGUGAUGACUCUGAAAUGACAGCUCCUGGUAGCACGUUCUGGGAUUAGCAAAAACAGGUUGUCACUUUACCCCAGUCAGGAUCAGGCAGUCUCUGUGUGCCGAGUGCUGGACAGCAGAGCCACGUUCUGCACCAGACAUCUGACAGCCCAAGUGGGAAGCAGGUCCUGCCUCCUGCCAGGUGGCUCCCAGGUCGGGUAUGCAGGGCUCUGCUCCGGCAGGAGAUUGGAUUUCCUGAGGCAGCACCGUGUGAUUUUGUCUGUGCAGCUUCCAGGCUGAAAGCACUCGGUGCUCCUCGCGCGAAGCUCUGACUCGCUCUGUUCUUUGCACAAUGCACUGAGCUGAUUUUAAAAUAGUGUGUACUUUUAAAAUGCCUGCCUCUAAUGGCAGUCCUGUGUCUGGCUGCUCAAUGUGCAGAGUGACAGCGCACGCACCAGCCCCUGGAGGGGAUGGAGAGAGAGGUAGGACAAACACGCCAGAGCUCUGAGCAAUGGUAUGAAACAACAACAAAAAAUCCUUUCAUUCUUACUAAAGUUGUAAAAAGUCUGUCGUGUCUUCUGUAGAAAUUAAUCAAUAUAUGGAAAACUGCAUAUCAACUGUGGGGGGAGCAAGAAUCUCUCCAUAAAUUAAAAUAUUGUGAGUUUCUAGAGCUAACUGGGAAAAGCACUGGGGUUACUUACAGGGCUCUGGAGCCAAAGCAGAGUCCAUGGAACUGGAUCCUUCACUAGAGUCCAUGUUUUGUCAAUGUCAGGAUACAUAAGAACUGUAAAACAAAGCAAAUUGUAUGUAUGGAAGGAAACUAGAAAUUUAGUCCUGCAUCACAUUCCUUUGAAAAAAUAAUAAUAAUUAAAAAAAAAAAGAUUAAAUGUCCAUAUAUUUUUUAUAAGAAAUAAGAGGUGAAAAGAUUAAUUCUCAAAAUCUGUGAAAUAUACAGUGAUGAGUUACUGAGGUUUGCAGUGAGGGGGGUGUUUUUGUAAUUCUGUAGGCAUCUCAGUCCUCUGGUGAAAUGAUGUAUGGGGCAAUCGUCUGGUAGGGGCUGAUGGGAUGUAAAUGAAACUAAUUAAGGAAAUGUCAAACAUAAUUAA